rnacentral:rRNA from 1 species
AGUGAACGCUGGCGGUAGGCCUAACACAUGCAAGUCGAACGGCAGCACAGUAAGAGCUUGCUCUUACGGGUGGCGAGUGGCGGACGGGUGAGGAAUACAUCUGAAUCUACUUUUUCGUGGGGGAUAACGUAGGGAAACUUACGCUAAUACCGCAUACGACCUACGGGUGAAAGCAGGGGAUCUUCGGACCUUGCGCGAUUGAAUGAGCCGAUGUCGGAUUAGCUAGUUGGCGGGGUAAAGGCCCACCAAGGCGACGAUCCGUAGCUGGUCUGAGACGAUGAUCAGCCACACUGGAACUGAGACACGGUCCAGACUCCUACGGGAGGCAGCAGUGGGGAAUAUUGGACAAUGGGCGCAAGCCUGAUCCAGCCAUACCGCGUGGGUGAAGAAGGCCUUCGGGUUGUAAAGCCCUUUUGUUGGGAAGGAAAAGCAGCAGGUUAAUACCCCGCUGUUCUGACGGUACCCAAAGAAUAAGCACCGGCUAACUUCGUG